GACGAACGCUGGCGGCGUGCUUAACACAUGCAAGUCGAACGAAGUGGCGAACGGGUGAGUAACGCGUAAUCAUCUUGCCCUUCAGAGGGGGACAACACUUGGAAACGACUGCUAAUACCGCAUACUGAAUGAGGGGUUUGCGUCUGAUUAGCUAGUUGGAGGGGUAACGGCCCACCAAGGCGAUGAGCAGUAGCCGGUCUGAGAGGAUGAACGGCCACAUUGGGACUGAGACACGGCCCAGACUCCUACGGGAGGCAGCAGUGGGGAAUAUUCCGCAAUGGACGAAAGUCUGACGGAGCAACGCCGCGUGAGUGAUGACGGCCUUCGGGUUGUAAAGCUCUUUUAAUCGGGAGGCUGUACCGGAAUAGAAGGCCACGGCUAACCACGUGCCAGCAGCGGCGGUAAUG
rnacentral:rRNA from 1 species